rnacentral:rRNA from 1 species
AGCAGCCGCCACGGUAAUACGAAGGGGGCUAGCGUUGCUCGGAAUGACUGGGCGUAAAGGGCGCGUAGGCGGAUUGUUUAGUUAGGCGUGAAAUUCCUGGGCUUAACCUGGGGACUGCGCUUAAUACAGGCAGUCUAGAGUGAGGAAGAGGGUUGUGGAAUUCCCAGUGUAGAGGUGAAAUUCGUAGAUAUUGGAAAGAACACCGGUGGCGAAGGCGGCGACCUGGUCCUUUACUGACGCUGAGGCGCGAAAGCGUGGGGAGCAAACAGGAUUAGAUACCCGCGUAGUCCCUGUCUCUUAUAC